rnacentral:lncRNA from 1 species
UAUCAUGGAGGCAUUUGAGGUCACCUCCAUAACUACAGUUCCUGGAGCAAGUUGAGGUGCAGAAAAAGUAGCCGGAUGUAUUCCUAGGCUCUAUGAUUUUGGAGCAUUGAAUCUAUUGUGAAUUAAGGUUCUGCCUGUAUGAAAAGGUUCCCGCAGCUCAGUAAUAAAUAUCUUGACUAUAUGCAGAAUGCAGUCAGUACUUGAUAGAUUGUGUUGGGUUUGGAGCAUGAUGGUGUAGGUUAAAUUUUUCUAAACCGUGUCCGCAGACUGUAUGAGAUGGUGACAAAAUCAGCAGUGCCUGAGGUCCCUAAUAUCAGCGAAUGCAAACAUGAAUUUAGAUAACUCGGAGGUGAGUAGUCUAGAGACAUUUGACUUGAAAUACAAUAAUUGGGAGACUUGGAAGAAAAAGUAAUUCCGUGUACCAGAAGAUGGAGUUCAUACCAAAUUGUUGAGGAGUAUUUGGAGAUGGGUGUCAGCCCCAUUCCAAGGAAAUUAUUUUGUUUGCAGUUUGGCUUUUCCUGAGUGAGUUCCUCAAACAGAUGUGCAUUUGAUACUCGCCCCUCCCAGGGAUAAAAAGUAAAAACAAAAGAGACUCAUGUGUUUAUAUGGAUACACCUAUACCAUACAGACUUUAACAGAGAGAUUUUUUUUUUAAUUGUCACUGACAACUGCUCUGUUAACAAGUAGGUUUUAAGCUUUUAACGUGUUUAAACAUUAGAUCCAGUAGAGUGUAUGAAAGAGAUUAGAAAGCACUGUAGCUGACGAAUCCACACCAAGGAAACAUGCAGACACUUGAAGUAACAUAAAAGUAACAAGAACAAAAAAUUCCAAAUCUUCUGUUCUCUAUAAAUAUCAAAAUUUCUUGGUCCUGUGCCCUUAUUUUUAAAAACUGUAGCAAGUACAUGACUUGACUUCCCUCCCCUGCCAUUUCUUUACCUCGGCACUGUUUCGUGUAACCCUCCUGCAGGUAUUCUGACAGUACUGAUCUUGUCCUCUGCCUUCCUGCCCCUUUAUAGCUUGAAAUUUAGAGUUCUAUAUUUCAAAUAAGUGCGUUGUAGUAGUUUAAUGUUAGUAUACAUAAACCAAUUGUUUUUUCUCUUCUGAAUGGUAUAGUCUUGAAUGUAAUUCACUAAAACUGGGAAUUCAAAGCCAAAGAGGCAUAGUCAUUUUGUGGCAUUGUUCUGCUUUGCCAAUUUGUCUUAAUAAUACACAUUAAUUAGGAGUUUAAUCCGUUUUUUUCUCACCCUACUGAAGGGCAUCUUGCAUGUGUUGGUUAUGACUGUGGCUGCAUUUAUGUUAGUUUCAGGUUUUUGUGGAUGAAAUGUUGUUGAAGCAGGUUAUGACUCUUUGUUUAGUGGCUAGAAAGCCUUAUAAGCCUUAUAAGCUUAUGUCCUUACAGGUCUAUUCAUUCUGUCAGUAAAUAAUUCUUAUUAAAGCCACUCAGGAAAUUCAGCCAUACCUUGCCCCUCCUAAACCAACAGUGUGCAGUAGCUUUCUCUCUAGAAUUAUGAAAUAUUUGAUGUUAGCACUGUUUCUUAAAAAUAACAACCACUCUGGCGUCCUCUCAGUUUCAGUCAGGGUCUCCUGUGACGCAGGCGGCUUCAGACGUCACUGAGGGUAAUCUCGAACUCAUGAUCCUUCUGCCCUCGCCUUGCUAGGAACAGGCCCGGUGAAAUGUGAGUGGCAGUUUAGUAGUAGCUAUUUAAGCCCCAACACAGUGUCUACAAGUCUAGUUAUAAUCUGAAUUGCUAGCUUGUCCAAGAAACAUGAGCUUGCUUGCAGUAAUGGCUUUCUGAGAACAUUCUGUCUGGAAUCUGACAAUAACAGUUACAGAGUCUGUUUUGGAGGGCUGGUAAAACCCUGCAGGCUACUUUUCACCAGGUGUCCCCUUCAAAGUAUAUCAUAAUAAUGUGAUGUUUGUUUUCUUAAGGGAGCUACUUGAAGAAUCUUUCAUGUAGAUUUUCAUUCAAAUAAAAACUUAGAAGACAGCUUUUAAGAAAUUCAUUUACAUCUUUAGAAGACCAAAAGUGUCCUCAUUUUCUUCCGUGAGAAUCAGCCAGAAAAGGUUGUAGUUCACAUCACCACUUCCCCUAUUUAGAUUUAGCUAGCUCCCUGCCCCACAGUUCCCUCAUGAUGAGUCUGCAUUCUUAGAAAACAUGCCGGUUCUAAAUUACCACACAGGAUUUAAAUACUGACAGUUUGGAUCUGUCAGAAACUAUCUUUCUUUCUGUUAGAUUCUCAAGAACAGUGCCUUUAAGCUGGUAUAAUUCUGCUCUUUGGAAACAUAAUACACUGAUCUUAAAAAACAUUUUCUAUCAUCUUAGGAAGCUUUAAAAAUAAAAAUGUAGGAAGAAAAAUGUCCCUGUUCAAAAGCCAGAAGGCAGUUUAUCCCUAGAUUCAUAAACUAGUCGGGAUAUUCGUUCAAGAAAAUUUGUUCAGUUCUUGGAACUUGACAAAAAAGUUAACUUAAAACCCAGCAAGUGUGAGACUUUAAUAAUGCUUUUUUCACUGGUAUGGUGGUACAUACCUUUGAUCCCAGCACUUGGGAGGCCAAGGCAGAUGGAUCUGUGUUCAUGGCCAGUCUUGUCUAUAUAGUGAGUUCCAGGAUAGACAGGACUACACAGAGAAAUCCUGUCUC